UCUUAUCACGAGAGGUUGAGGGAAAGGCCCGAUGACACCUCAGCAACCAUCAAUAGUAAAUCGCUAUUGAAAAGGUGCUAAUUCCUACAAGCUAUGUGCUUGAAAGAUGAGA
rnacentral:ncRNA from 1 species